CUUAGGACAUUUAGAUACUAUGACAGCCAGGAUGUUGGCUUAGAAGCAGCCAUCAUUUAAAAAGUGCGUGAUAGCUUACUGGUCGAGUAUUUGAGUGCCGAUAAUGAUCGGGAGUAAGCGGUACACCGAAUCAGCGGAUGCACUGUAAAGUGCGUGGUAGAAGAGCGUUCUGAAUCAGAUACAAGCCAUACCGUGAGGAGUGGUGUUGGGGUUCAGAAGUGAUUAUGUCGGAAUGAGUAACGAUAAUGUAGGUGAGAAUCCUACACGCCGCAAGCCUAAGGUUUCCUGGGAAGGCAAAUCCGCCCAGGGUUAGCCGGUCCCUUAGUCAAGGCCGAGAGGCGUAGACGAUGGACAUCAGGUUAAUAUUCCUGAGCCGCUGUUCUGGACCGAUGGGGGGACGUUGUGUGAAUUGUGAUCGGGCGGUUAGAAGUGCCCGUGGGUGAAUUCAAAGUAGUGGUAGGGAAAUCCGCCACGCUGUCUGAGGGUUCAUUCCGACUCCGCUUUGAUGAGGAAGUCACAUGCAGCAUAAUCACGAAAAGCCUCUAAGGGUUGAAGGAAUAGCGACCGUACUAAAACUGACACAGGUAGGCGAGGCGAGUAGCCUCAGGCGCUCGGGAGAACGCUGGUUAAGGAACUCUGCAAAUUGACCCCGUAACUUCGGGAGAAGGGGUGCCCCCGCAAGGGGGCCACAGUAAAUCGGCUCUAGCGACUGUUUACUAAAAACACAGGACUCUGCGAACACGUAAGUGGAUGUAUAGAGUCUGACGCCUGCUCGGUGUUGGUAGGUUAAGGAAGAGGGUCAGGCGUAAGCCGAAGCUCGCAACCGAAGCCCCAAUAAACGGCGGCCGUAACUAUGACGGUCCUAAGGUAGCGAAGUUCCUUGUCGGGUAAGUUCCGACCUGCAUGAAUGGCGUAACGACUGGAGCACUGUCUCAACCAGCGACCCGGUGAAAUUGCAGUCGUGGUGAAGAUACCACGUUCCCGCAGUUAGACGGAAAGACCCCAUGAACCUUCACUGUAGGCUGAUACUGGGUCUAGAUUAUUCUUGUGUAGGAUAGGUGGGAGGCUAUGAAGUCGGUACGCUAGUACUGAUGGAGCCAACGUGAAAUACCACCCUGGGAUCAUUUGGAUUCUAACUUCGUUCAGUGAAUCCUGGCGAAGGACAAUGUCAGUUGGGCAGUUUGACUGGGGCGGUCUCCUCCAAAAGAGUAACGGAGGAGCCCAAUGGUACCCUCAGCCUGGUUGGCAAUCAGGCGUCGAGCGUAAAGGUAGAAGGGUGCUUGACUGCGAGACCUAUAAGUCGAGCAGAAACGAAAGUUGGGCUUAGUGAUCCGGCGGUGCUGGAUGGAAAGGCCGUCGCUCAUCAGAUAAAAGGUACUCUGGGGAUAACAGGCUGAUCGCAUCCGAGCC
rnacentral:rRNA from 1 species